CAGUAGCCGCGGGAAUACGAAGGGUGCAAGCGUUAAUCGGAAUUACUGGGCGUAAAGCGCGCGUAGGCGGUUUGGCAAGUUUGGUGUGAAAUCUUCGGGCUCAACUCGAAGUCUGCACCGAAAACUGCCGGGCUUGAGUAUGGGAGAGGUGAGUGGAAUUUCCGGUGUAGCGGUGAAAUGCGUAGAUAUCGGAAGGAACACCUGUGGCGAAAGCGGCUCACUGGACCAUUACUGACGCUGAGGCGCGAAAGCUAGGGGAGCAAACAGGAUUAGAUACCCGCGUAGUCCCUGUCUCUUAUAC
rnacentral:rRNA from 1 species